UGGGGAAUUUUGGACAAUGGGCGCAAGCCUGAUCCAGCAAUGCCGCGUGCAGGAUGAAGGCCUUCGGGUUGUAAACUGCUUUUGUACGGAACGAAAAGCUUCUGGUUAAUACCUGGGAGUCAUGACGGUACCGUAAGAAUAAGCACCGGCUAACUACGUCCCAGCAGCCGCGGUAAUACGUAGGGUGCGAGCGUUAAUCGGAAUUACUGGGCGUAAAGCGUGCGCAGGCGGUUAUGUAAGACAGAGGUGAAAUCCCCAGGCUCAACCUGGGAACUGCCUUUGUGACUGAAUGGCUAGAGUGCGGCAGAGAGGAAUGGAAUUACGCGUGUAGCAGUGAAAUGCGUAGAUAUGCGGAGGAAAACCGAUGGCGAAGGCAAUCCCCUGGGCCUGCACUGACGCUCAUGCACGAAAGCGUGGGGAGCAAACA
rnacentral:rRNA from 1 species